UCGGGCAUCGUCUAACGGCAGGACGUCAGGUUCUGGCCCUGAAAAUUGAGGUUCGAAUCCUUGUGCCCGAGCCA
rnacentral:tRNA from 1 species